AUUGAACGCUGGCGGCAUGCCUUACACAUGCAAGUCGAACGGCAGCACGGGAGCAAUCCUGGUGGCGAGUGGCGAACGGGUGAGUAAUAUAUCGGAACGUGCCCGGUCGUGGGGGAUAACGUAGCGAAAGCUACGCUAAUACCGCAUACGAUCUACGGAUGAAAGCGGGGGAUCGCAAGACCUCGCGCGAUUGGAGCGGCCGAUAUCAGAUUAGGUAGUUGGUGAGGUAAAGGCUCACCAAGCCGACGAUCUGUAGCUGGUCUGAGAGGACGACCAGCCACACUGGGGCUGAGACACGGCCCAGACUCCUACGGGAGGCAGCAGUGGGGAAUUUUGGACAAUGGGCGCAAGCCUGAUCCAGCAAUGCCGCGUGCAGGAUGAAGGCCUUCGGGUUGUAAACUGCUUUGUACGGAACGAAACGGUGAGCUCUAAUACAGUUUGCUAAUGACGGUACCGUAAGAAUAAGCACCGGCUAACUACGUG
rnacentral:rRNA from 1 species